rnacentral:rRNA from 1 species
GAGUUUGAUCAUGGCUCAGAUUGAACGCUGGCGGCAUGCCUUACACAUGCAAGUCGAACGGCAGCACGGGAGCUUGCUCCUGGUGGCGAGUGGCGAACGGGUGAGUAAUGCAUCGGAACGUAUCCUGGAGUGGGGGAUAACGUAGCGAAAGUUACGCUAAUACCGCAUAUUCUGUGAGCAGGAAAGCGGGGGACCUUCGGGGCCUCGCGCUCUUGGAGCGGCCGAUGUCGGAUUAGCUAGUUGGUGAGGUAAAGGCUCACCAAGGCGACGAUCCGUAGCAGGUCUGAGAGGAUGAUCUGCCACACUGGAACUGAGACACGGUCCAGACUCCUACGGGAGGCAGCAGUGGGGAAUUUUUGGACAAUGGGGGGCAACCCUGAUCCAGCCAUGCCGCGUGAGUGAAGAAGGCCUUCGGUCGUGUAAAGCUCUUUCGUCGAGGGAAGGAAA